rnacentral:rRNA from 1 species
AGAGUUUGAUCGUGGCUCAGGACGAACGCUGGCGGCGUGCCUCAUACAUGCAAGUCGAGCGAGAACCGGGCUUCGGCCCGGGGAGAGCGGCGAACGGGUGCGUAUCACGUGAGCAACCUGCCUCAGAGACCGGGAUAACUCGAGGAAACUCGGGCUAAUACCGGAUGCCCUCGGUGGAUCGCAUGGUCCGGCGAGGAAAUGGAUUCCGCUCUGAGAUGGGCUCGCGGCCUAUCAGCUUGUUGGUGGCGUAACGGCCUACCAAGGCGACGACGGGUAGCUGGUCUGAGAGGACGAUCAGCCACACUGGGACUGAGACACGGCCCAGACUCCUACGGGAGGCAGCAGUAGGGAAUCUUGCGCAAUGGGCGAAAGCCUGACGCAGCGACGCCGCGUGCGGGAUGAAGGUCUUCGGGUCGUAAACCGCUUUCAGCAGGGACGAAAUUGACGGUACCUGCAGAAGAAGGCCCGGCCAACUACGUGCCAGCAGCCGCGGUGAUACGUAGGGGUCUAGCGUUGUCCGGAAUCAUUGGGCGUAAAGAGCUCGUAGGCGGUUCGGCAAGUCGGAUGUGAAAUCUCCACGCUCAACGUGGAGGGGCCAUUCGAAACUGCCGUGACUCGAGUCCGGUAGGGGAGUGCGGAAUUCCCGGUGUAGCGGUGAAAUGCGCAGAUAUCGGGAGGAACACCAGUGGCGAAGGCGGCACUCUGGGCCGGAACUGACGCUGAGGAGCGAAAGCGUGGGGAGCGAACAGGAUUAGAUACCCCCGUAGUCC